rnacentral:rRNA from 1 species
AACUAACGCUGGCGGCGUGCCUAACACAUGCAAGUCGAACGAGAAAGUUGGCUUCGGCCGAUGAGUAAAGUGGCGCACGGGUGAGUAACGCGUGGAUAAUCUGCCCUUUAGUUUGGAAUAACGUACCGAAAGGUGCGCUAAUACCGGAUAAUACUGAAUGACUACUGUCGUUUAGUCAAAGAAGGCUUCUGUUUACAUGCUUUUGCUGAAGGAUGAGUCCGCGUACCAUUAGCUAGUUGGUAGGGUAAUGGCCUACCAAGGCGACGAUGGUUAGCUGGUCUGAGAGGAUGAUCAGCCACACUGGAACUGAGACACGGUCCAGACUCCUACGGGAGGCAGCAGUGAGGAAUAUUGCGCAAUGGGGGCAACCCUGAUCCAGCCAUGCCGCGUGAGUGAAGAAGGCCUCGGUUGUAAGCUCUUCGUCGGACGGAAUACGUAUGGUUAAGUACCUACGUGCGGAGUGACGGUACCGGCCGAUAAGAAGACACCGGCGUAACUACGUACG